rnacentral:rRNA from 1 species
UACGUAGGGCGCAAGCGUUGUCCGGAAUUAUUGGGCGUAAAGAGCUCGUAGGUGGCUUGUCGCGUCUGCCGUGAAAGCCCAUGGCUUAACUGUAGGUCUGCGGUGGAUACGGGCAGGCUGGAGGCUGGUAGGGGCAAGCGGAAUUCCUGGUGUAGCGGUGAAAUGCGCAGAUAUCAGGAGGAACACCGAUGGCGAAGGCAGCUCGCUGGGACGGUACUGACGCUGAGGCGCGAAAGCGUGGGGAGCGAACAGG